AUGACACCAUUGCAGCUUGUCUCAUCACUUUUUCUGUGUGUUUGUGUCUCCAGUAUAACUUUGUGCCAGUGAACCUUCUCCUUGAAGGCCUGAACCUGCGUCUGGUGGGAACACUGAAUGUAGAGAUGUUGUGCGAGGUCGUGAACAAAGAUCUGGCUCCUCCCGUCCCGGCUGCUCCUCUACUGAGUCGUGAAAACUCAAAGGCAACAAGAGGAUGAGGCAGAGCAGCAAGGCAGCAGAUGUGGACAGUUUGAAUUAAGUCCUGAUAGAGUGAAGUCUAUAAUACUGAAAUGAAGAUUCUUGAGGAAUAAACUUUUCUUUGGAG